rnacentral:lncRNA from 1 species
CCAAGUGGACAACAAGCCAAAUCACCUUUCGGCUAUUAAACAAACCAAAAGAAUGAAGGACAUAAUGAUGUGGGAACAUUAUUAGGAGGUUUUCCUUUAUGAUGUGGCCACAUGAGUGGUAAUUAUGAUGUUUGUUCCUUUUGUUUAUAUUAAGGCAUUUGGUUAUGUCUUUGGUUUUGGGGGUUGGGAACGGCAGAUUAGAGAGAAGAAGAGGUGUGUUGUUGUUUUCUAUCUUCCAUUUGUGCCAUCAUUCAUUCUAAGAUAUUGUGCUACAUUUUGUGGCUUUUGGGAGAGAAGAAUUUGAUAUGUGUUUCUUCUUCUCCAUUUGUUCUUUGUAUGAGUGAGAGCUAUUGGGUGUAUAUGAGUUAUUGGGUUUGAGAGUUCAACUCUAUUUGUAAUUUCCAUUUUGAUAUUAGUGGAAUUUCAUCGCCGUCUCUGAACUGGACGUAGGCUUACGCCGAACCAGUAUAAAUCCUUGUGUCAUUUUGGAUUAUUCGUCUUAUCAUAUUUUUCAGUUGUAGCUUAUUGGUUUCAUAUUUAACACUUCCGCACAACAGAGUUAGCAUCCUGUAUGUUAUCGUCGAAGUUCAAAUUUUGUCUGAGCAAUGAAUAUACCUCAAGUUAGACAUUGAAAUAUACCUCAAGUUAGACAUUGAAACACACAAAAUUGUGAACAUGAUUAUAUUCGAAUCCAGAAAGCAUUUGAUAAGCCUUCAAUCCUUUUAUACAAUUUUAAAGUGAUUUUAUUCUUGAAAUUAGUAAACUCAACAAAACCAAGAUUGAAAGCAUGCUCAUCAUCAAAAUUCAGCAAAGAAAACUGAAGCCCGAUCGCACUUAAAUCGGUGAGAAGUGAUAUUCAACGCAAUUAGAAAUCCAUAUGUAGGUUAGGCUAAUUAAUCAGAGAGCUGUGUUAGCUUCGAUCCUGUUUCCAUAAGGCAAAGUAGUCUAGAAUACGUGAUUUGUCUUUAACUAGAUUAUAGUAUUGAUAAAUAUAUCAGUAUAUACGUGAAUAUCACGUCAUGCUUUGACGAUUACACCAAAAAUUACUUAAUGCCACCACAAUCUUUUCUCUUUCGGGUUGGACUUCGAUUGAGAAAUUUGUGUGUAUCAGUGCAAUGUCGCAUCACGUGUUAGUGUGUGUGGACACAAGGUUGAUUUGUCCUCUACUAGAUUACAAUACUGAUAAGUAGAUACACUUUAAUUAUUAGUACAUAAGUGAAUUACCACAUCAUGUUCAAACGAUUUGAGAAAUUACUUAGUGCCACCACAGUCUUCUCUCUUUCGGGGUUGACUUCGAUUGAGAAAUUAUUGAGUGUAUCAAUGCAAUGCUGGAUAACGUUCCAUGUCACGUGUUAUUAUGUAUGGAUGCAAGGUUGAUUUGUCCAAAACAAGAUUAUAGCAUUGAUAAAUAGAUCCACAUAUUUGAUUUUUCAGUAUAGAUGCUUAGGCUAAUUGGCCAAGACAUUGUGCUUGUCAUAUAACAAUUUUUUUAUUUUAAAAAAAAAAAGGUUGUAGAUGCCAAUUAUUAUUCUUCUUUAUUUGUAAGUGAAAGUUUUAAGUUUAACUUUGUAGAUAGUGAUUUCGACAUCAUAUUAUUAUAACAGACUCAUUGUGUAGUUUAGUGGUUGACCCAAAUACCUUUAUUGGGCAUAAGUUACCUUUUUUGUAAGGGAUUAUUUUCCCUAGAUGCUCUUGGAACACCAGUUUCCUUUGUUUUCUCCUACUCCUCUUUCCCUACGGAAAUAGGACUCCCCUCCCUUCUCUGCCCUUUCUACUUAAACCAAUACGUGAAGUUGCUUUAACAAGAGAAACAAACCACAACCGCAUUCUUUUCGUUCGUUUUCAUCCUCCGUGUCUAGGGUUUUGAGCAGACGAUUCCCCACCACCGCGACGUCGUUUUCGCUUAGGGUUUAUGCUGCGGAGACAAUGGAGAACGUAGAGUCCGAUUUGAAAGAAUCAGAGUUGAAGCAGUCGACUCUGCGCAAGGCGUACGACUGCCUUCACGCCCAUGCAACCUCCCUCGCUGUGUUUUCCGUACAGUGGAAGG